UCCCUGGUGGCUCAGAUGGUAAAGAAUCUGCCUCUGAUGCAGGAGACCCAGGUUCGAUCCCUGAGUUGGGAA
rnacentral:tRNA from 1 species